ensembl:lncRNA
AGGUGCUGGCCUGAAGGGCCCUGGGGUUCAGAAGGGAGCUCUGGGCUGGAGACCCCACUGCAGGAUGGUCAGCGUGGAGGCCAUGUGGGAGCCUGCAAGGCUGGGGGUGGCAGACCGUCCAGGGAGGGGAGACGGGAACAGCCGUGGACCCAGCAGCGUGCAGACGCUGAGACUCGGCCUCCAGGGAGGAUGGCCAUCCCAGGACCGGCCUGGUCUCCCGCCGGAGGACACAGGAAGGGGGCUCCUGUCCAGGUAAACGUGAGCUCAGUGGCCCCAGCCCAGAGGGAACCAAGAGGCUGCCGCUGUCCCCAAGCCCAGGGCUCCUUUCGCAGGGCUGCUGAGCCGGGGGUGGGGCACUCUGUGCUGUUACUGAGCACCUGCUGUUUACCAGGCUUGGCGUCUCUGCAGAUAGCACCCUGUGCAACCUGUCCGUCACCGGCCACAGAACACCAGCUGUAUUCAGACACAUACCCAGCUCUGCACUGAGCACUUACCUCUCGGGCAUUACUACAAACAUCACGACUCUACUUCCGCUGCCUUGCCCACUCUGUCUUGAGGCCAGUGAAGGAAGCAUUUGCUAAAGGCUGUACAACCGGCGGGAGCGGAAAUGCCCUUAAACCCAGGACUGGCUCCUCGGGCCCGGGCCCUGUCCUGCCCACGCUGGGGUGGGCCCCUGAGCCCCCACAGGGACGCGCGGAGGUGUCCAGAGGUUGCAGGGCCUCCCUUGCCCCAGGGGUGCCUGCAGGUCACAGCAGGACAGGGAUAAGACUAUCUGACGCACUUUGCUCUCUCCUGCUGAGAAAAACAACUUGGAGGCAGAGGCUGUCUCUGGCAGUCACACCCGGGCCUCAGCUCACUCCUCCAAAGGGCAGCUAAGAGUCCCCAGGGAUACAGGUGUGAGCCCCGAAUUCCAGGGUGCUCCAGGGGGCUGGAAUCAGAGGCUGCCCAGUCAGGGCAGGGCAGCCUCUCAGGGAGGCUGGGUGCAAGGAGGGGCUGUGUGGUCUCAUCAACCUGGGGGCUGAGGGCAACCCAAGGAGUUCUGGGCACUGGGUCCGCACCCCCCCGGACACAGUCAGCCCCAGGCGUGGCAGUGAGACAGAGUCCUGAGAAGUCCAGGGCUGCACGGGGGUCAGGCUGGGCUGCUGGGCGCUGCCUCCCACUGCAGAGCGAGUUUGAGACGAGGCCCUGAUCCAGCUGUACCUGACGCCGCUCACCCUGGCUCAGCCGUCCCCUGUCUCCUUGGGCACCGUGAGCUGGGUCCUUGUCACAAGAGUUCUGAUCCAAAAACCGGAUUGUGGGGCUGGGCUGACUGCUCUUCCUGUCUGGAAGCUGUCACGUUCUGGGAGAUGACAGGGAAUGGGAGGCCUCCUGUCAGUUCUCUGACCCAGGACUUGACUGACAAGGACAAAGGCAGCCUGCCCACCCACCCUUCCCCUCUGAGCCCCCAGGCCGGAUCUCCGUGCACGGGGGUGUUCAUGCAUGAAGGUGUUCGGGGGCCCCCUGUGAUUGGGGUCCGACGUGUGCAGCCGUGUCCCUGUGUGGCUGCCGAGAAGGGUGGGAUCUUCACGUCCCACAGGCACACACGGGCCCCCUGCAGAGGGGACGCCAUCGUGACAGUGACUGGCACCGCCAUCCUGCUCAGGCUGACGCAGGAGAGCGUCCUGUGACCGCAGAUGCGGGCAAGGCGGGGAGGGUGCUCCGUCCUGCCUCCCGCUCCGCGUCACCUCACCCCUCAUUCCUCUGCUUCUGUCCUCCUCUCCCGCUCCCCUGACCCCUCUUCCUUACCCCUCCUCUCCUCCCAGGCCUUCUGGCCUCAGGAGAGCUGCCUUCCACGUCCCCUGGGGUGUGCCCAGUGGGCCAGGCUGGUGUGAGGAAGCCUCUUUUACAAGGAAGUCCUGUGCCCCGGACCUUACUUGGCCCCAGAGGGCAGGACGCCUGCCCCCAGGAGGAUUCACAGAGCCCCCCUGACCCAGACCAGCCCGGUGCCUCCCCCAGAUGCCAGCCCACCAGGCUGCCGACGCUGCCACAAGACGGCCCUGUCCUCCGACGCAGCAGUCCUGGAACCGAGGUACUGGCGUCCUGUUUUCCCUGAUGGGGAAACUGAGGCUUGGAGCUGUGAUAUGAUUUGCCCCGUCAUAGGAAGCGACUGAGUUUCUUCAACAAGAAGAUUAACUCAUUGCAGGACUGAGAGAAAACGAUGCCAGACAAGCCUCCCCCCGCAAGCGCCCCUCACGGACAGUGCCCUGUCUCUGCCAACACUGAGAAGAGCAGGGCGCCCCAAACCCGGUGGAGAAAACAGAGAGCUCUGAAAGUUCUCUGUGUCCUAGAAGUUUGAUCAACCAUGGGAAAGCUAGAAAAUAGGAAUUGGCAGUUUUUCAUAACUUUCAUUUUGAAACAUUUCGACCUUUCGGAAAAGUGGUAAGAAGAGUCCAACGAGCGGCCAGACGCCCUUCAGCCGCAUCCAGCGCCCGCCCGCCUCCCCGUGUGCGCACCGCCAGCCAGCCACCGUCACCCGUCUGUCAUCUCCCGGUCUCCACCCAGGGAUGCGUGUGCCGUCCUCCUGUGCGUGCACAUGUGCAUCUGUCCAUCAGCUGCCAGCGCCACUGCCCGCUCCCCGAGCCACGUGAGAACCAGCUUUGGCAUCCUGACCUUUCACCUGCAGUAAUACCACGGUCUCCAAGGACAACAGAGUCCGCCCAUGUCACUGUGACACCGUCACCACACCCAGGAGUUUUUCCUGGAUACAGUCACCUAAUGUUGGUCCCACGGACCCAGCUGCGUCCCGCGAGCUACUUGCCGGUCUAGACGGAGGAGUCAGUCCAGGACUGGGAGCUGCGGUGACCUCCAGCUCUCUCCGUGUUCUGUUCACGGCGGUGAUGUUUCCGAGGGGUCAGGAGCAGGUAUCUGCUGGAGUCUCUCUGAACCUGGGUGUGUCCUCCCCUCCUCAAGAAUGGUUUUGGUGAGAACGCUGCAGUGGAGGGCGGGGGCCUCCCCCAAGACAUACAUGGUGAAGUUUGUUCCAAAAUGUUUGCUUACCAACUUAGUUUCUUAUUCCUUGAAAUGUACUUCGCGGCAAGGAGAAGUGAGGAUUUAAUCAGGUAGUUUCUCUAACCUGCCCCAGUGGCACUGAGUGAAGGACUCUUUCAACGUCUCUCGUUUCCUCCUCUGGAGUCCCUUUAGCUUUUCCGGGCUCUGCGUGUCCUGGCCCAUUUGUCCCGAGCUCCAUGCUGUUCUGAUGACCCCAGCACCCUGCCUUCCUCUUCACGCUCAGAGCCCGUGCACCUCUUUGUUUUGGGAGCGUGGGUGCUCACCCUGCAGCCCCGCCUCUUCAGGGCACUCUGAUGUCCUCCCCACCCCCCUCCCCCGCCUGUGAGCCAAGGUC